GAUGGACGCUAGCGAUAGGCUUAACACAUGCAAGUCGAGGGGCAGCACAAGGUAGCUUGCUAUCUGGGUGGCGACCGGCGCACGGGUGCGUAACGCGUAUGCAACUUGCCCUAUACAGGAGGAUAACCCGUCGAAAGACGGACUAAUACUGCGUAUGCUCACAACUUGGCAUCAAGUGGUGAGGAAAGAAAUUCGGUAUAGGAUAGGCAUGCGUCCCAUUAGCUUGUUGGUGAGGUAACGGCUCACCAAGGCAACGAUGGGUAGGGGAACUGAGAGGUUUAUCCCCCACACUGGUACUGAGACACGGACCAGACUCCUACGGGAGGCAGCAGUGAGGAAUAUUGAUCAAUGGGCGCGAGCCUGAACCAGCCAAGUCGCGUGAAGGAUGACUGUCUUAUGGAUUGUAAACUUCUUUUAUACGGGAAGAACAAGAGUCACGUGUGACUCCCUGCAUGUACCGUAUGAAUAAGCAUCGGCUAACUCCGUG
rnacentral:rRNA from 1 species